rnacentral:rRNA from 1 species
UAAUACGGAGGGUGCGAGCGUUGUUCGGAAUUAUUGGGCGUAAAGCGCACGUAGGCGGUCUGGUAAGUCUCACUGUGAAAGCCCGGGGCUCAACCCCGGGAGGCCAGGGGAUACUGCCGGACUGGAGACAGGCAGAGGCUGGUGGAAUUCCGGGUGUAGCGGUGGAAUGCGUAGAGAUCCGGAGGAACACCGGAGGCGAAGGCGGCCAGCUGGGCCUGAUCUGACGCUGAGGUGCGAAAGCGUGGGGAGCGAACAGGAUUAGAUACCCUGGUAGUCCACGCCGUAAACGAUGGGCACUAGAUGCCGGAGGGAACGACCCCGUCGGUGUCGAAGCUAACGCAUUAAGUGCCCCGCCUGGGGAGUACGGCCGCAAGGCUG